GAUGAACGCUGGCGGCGUGCCUAAUACAUGCAAGUCGAGCGAACAGACGAGGAGCUUGCUCCUCUGACGUUAGCGGCGGACGGGUGAGUAACACGUGGAUAACCUCCCUAUAAGACUGGGAUAACUUCGGGAAACCGGAGCUAAUACCGGAUAAUAUAUUGAACCGCAUGGUUCAAUAGUGAAAGACGGUUUUGCUGUCACUUAUUGAUGGAUCCGCGCAGCAUUAGCUAGUUGGUAAGGUAACGGCUUACCAAGGCGACGAUGCGUAGCCGACCUGAGAGGGGGAUCGGCCACACUGGAACUGAGACACGGUCCAGACUCCUACGGGAGGCAGCAGUAGGGAAUCUUCCGCAAUGGGCGAAAGCCUGACGGAGCAACGUGGCGUGAGUGAUGAAGGUCUUCGGAUCGUAAAACUCUGUUAUUAGGGAAGAACAAAUGUGUAAGGAACUAUGCACGUCUUGACGGUACCUAAUCAGAAAGCCACGGCUAACUACGUG
rnacentral:rRNA from 1 species